rnacentral:tRNA from 1 species
GGCUGAGUGGCAGAGUGGCUAUGCAGCGGCCUGCAAAGCCGUGGACCUCGGUUCGAAUCCGGGCUCAGCCUUCA